rnacentral:rRNA from 1 species
GACGAACGCUGGCGGCGUGCCUAAUACAUGCAAGUCGAGCGCAGGAAACUGACGGAACUCUUCGGUGGGAAGGCAGUGGAAUGAGCGGCGGACGGGUGAGUAACACGUAAGGAACCUGCCUCAAGGAUUGGGAUAACUCCGAGAAAUCGGAGCUAAUACCGGAUAGUUCAACGGACCGCAUGGUCCGCUGAUGAAAGGCGCUCCGGCGUCACCUUGAGAUGGCCUUGCGGUGCAUUAGCUAGUUGGUGGGGUAACGGCCCACCAAGGCGACGAGGCAUAGCCGGCCUGAGCGGGUGAACGGCCACACUGGGACUGAGACACGGCCCAGACUCCUACGGGAGGCAGCAGUAGGGAAUCUUCCACAAUGGACGAAAGUCUGAUGGAGCAACGCCGCGUGAGUGAUGAAGGUUUUCGGAUCGUAAAGCUCUGUUGUAAGGGAAGAACACGUACGAGAGGAAAUGCUCGUACCUUGACGGUACCUUACGAGAAAGCCACGGCUAACUACGUGCCAGCCGCCGCAGUAAAAC